GUCCGUAAAGGUGGAUGAGUGGUGUUUGGUUUGUUACGUGUGGUUGGCUGCGGCGUUUGCAACAACUUCCAUGCUUUCAGACCUCUUCAGUUGUGCGGCAAGGCUUGUAUCGCCUUGAGCGUGCUGUGGGUUUUCUGUGUUGGCUACCUAAUCAAUGGUAUCGGUUGGAUUGAUCAAAGUUUGAUUUCGUCUUCCGUCGCAUUCGCGGCGUGGGGUGAACCUCGAUGCGGUCUCUUUGAUCCACCUCGUUGAAGCACAUGCCUCGACGUUGUGGCACAUUGAGCAUUGCUUGGUCUCUUGUAUACGGAACAUAUAGUGGGCAUGGAUCUAACGAUUCUCGUUUGCCCUCAUAUUAGCGUAACGCUUCUCUAACACGACUUGCGCCACGUUUUAGCUCGUACGGACGUGGU
rnacentral:misc_RNA from 1 species